rnacentral:rRNA from 1 species
CAGUCGCCGCGGUAAUACGUAGGUGGUAAGCGUUGUCCGGAAUUAUUGGGCGUAAAGGGCUCGCAGGCGGUUUCUUAAGUCUGAUGUGAAAGCCCCCGGCUCAACCGGGGAGGGUCAUUGGAAACUGGGAAACUUGAGUGCAGAAGAGGAGAGUGGAAUUCCACGUGUAGCGGUGAAAUGCGUAGAGAUGUGGAGGAACACCAGUGGCGAAGGCGACUCUCUGGUCUGUAACUGACGCUGAGGAGCGAAAGCGUGGGGAGCGAACAGGAUUAGAUACCCCCGUAGUCCCUGUCUCUUAUAC